CCGGACCUGACUGCUAUCGGAUUGAUACUAAGCCAUGUGAGUCUUUGUAGUAAUACAAGGCAUACGGCUCAGUAACACGUAGUCAAUCUAACCUAUGGACAGGGAUAAUCUCGGGAAACUGAGCAUAAUACCUGAUAGAUCAUUAUGCCUGGAAUGGCUUAUGGUUGAAAUGAUUCGUUCGCCAUAGGAUGGGACUGCGGCUUAUCAGUUUGUUGGUGAGGUAAUGGCCCACCAAGACUAUUACAGGUACGGGCUCUGAGAGGAGAAGCCCGGAGAUGGGUACUGAGACACGGACCCAGGCCCUAUGGGGCGCAGCAGGCGAGAAAACUUUGCAAUGUGCGAAAGCACGACAAGGUUAAUCCGAGCGAUUCCUGCUAAAGGAAUCUUUUGUUAGUCGUAAGGACCACUAUCGAAUAAGGGGUGG
rnacentral:rRNA from 1 species